rnacentral:misc_RNA from 1 species
GCACUAUCAAGCACUUGGAUUUGGGCGCUGUAGAUCCUACUCGCCUCAAAAACAGUGGCGGCUGUCUGUAUUCCCCAGCGUAGUAAAACCCCGCUCCGGGCCUGCAGGCACCCACCUCGUCCACUAA